rnacentral:rRNA from 1 species
AUUGAACGCUGGCGGCAGGCCUAACAAAUGCAAGUCGAACGAGUGGCGGACGGGUGAGUAAUGUCUGGGAAACUGCCUGAUGGAGGGGGAUAACUACUGGAAACGGUAGCUAAUAACGCAUACCAUCAGCGGUGCCCAGAUGGGAUUAGCUAGUGGGGUGGGUAAAGGCCAACCAAGGCGACUAUCACUAGCUGGUCUGAGAGGAUGACCAGCCACAACGGAACUGAGACACGGUCCAGACUCCUACGUGAGGCAGCAGUGGUGAAUAUUGCACAAUGGGCGCAAUCCUGAUGCAGCCAUGCCGCGUGUAUGAAGAAGGCCUUCGGGUUGUAAAGUACUUUCAGCGGGGAGGCGUUACCCGCAGAAGAAGCACCGGCUAACUCCGUGCCAGCAGCCGCGGUAAUAC